rnacentral:rRNA from 1 species
GACGUAGGGGGCCAGCGUUGUUCGGAAUUACUGGGUGUAAAGGGUUCGUAGGCGGUGCGGCAAGUUGGGUGUGAAAUCUCUGGGCUUAACCCAGAGGCUGCUUCCAAAACUGCUGUGCUUGAGUGUGGGAGAGGCGCGUGGAAUUGCAGGUGUAGCGGUGAAAUGCGUAGAUAUCUGGAGGAAUACCGGUGGCGAAGGCGGCGUUCUGGACCAUUACUGACACUGAACCGCGAAAGCUAGGGGAGCAAACGGG